AUGGAGUUGAUGAUAAUUUCCCCACAUGAUCGACGCUGAUUAUACUGAGCGACUCGUUUCUCUUAUCGAGAAUCCAAGCCAGAAAAUCUGAUCCAU